ACGAGCGAGCGCUCAGUGCAGUCUGGCCCAGACCCCGGACUGACAGUGGCUCUGUGUUGCGUAUAAUACUAUAUGUCUUUUGUCGUUUUUAAAUCGUCAAAGAAUGCUCGGCUAAUUUUAUCAAUCGUUUGUUUUAUUGUAUUCUGCAGGACGUUAAGUGUUGGUAUUUAGUUAACGGUUAUCGAAACUAACGGUUGGACCCGAACAUGAAUGACAUUAAACUGGCUGUGCUGGGCAGCGAGGGAGUGGGGAAAUCAGCUCUCAUCGUUCGGUUCCUGACGCGGAGGUUAAUCGGGGAGUACGCCUUGUUGACCGUGUCCCUGAGCCUUCAGCCUCCAACUGUGUCAUCCUGUGAUGGACGAGGUCAGAGGUCAGAGUUCAGAGGUCAGGAGAAUCCCAAGGUCAUGUGACGUGGGUCAAUCAACAAUUAUAUAUAGCAAUUAAUUUUUUUAUCUUUUUCGCCAUAUUCAAUUUUUUUAUAUGGAAACAUUAUACCAUUGGUGCCAAAGACAAAAGUCUUACCCAAUUGAUUUUGGAGACCUUUGCAUCGCUACUAUGACGAUUAUUAUUUUGAUUAUUAUUAUAACUACUAAAGCUUCAGCUGUGUGUCCCAUGUGCAAUAGAGCACAUUUGUGUGCUUUCGAGAGGACGCCGGGAAAUCGAUUAUUGAUGACUGAGAGAAAAAAAAGAAGUGAAAUCGAUUAUUGAUGACUGAGAGAAAAAAAAGAAGUGAAAUCGAUUAUCUUGAGUAAAGCGAGCUGCUUUUAACCGAAUGGGUGCAUGUUUACCAGCUGAACCUCAUUCCACCACGCAAUGUGAUUAUUCAAAUCUAUUUUAUAAACUAUUAUGUGAUUAUUUUAUGCUACUGUAAAUACACCAAUCCUUGGAUAAACCUGACAGUUUAUCCUUCGACGUAUCAUGUCGCUUUUUUAUCUUUUUUUAAUGAUGACGUGAUUUUUGCCUUUCUGAUUAGGCUCUGAUUUAUACUGAAUUUCGGAUUUUUGUUCGUUUAUCUGUUUUUUCUAUGCUGCUAUCUGUUACACUGGUCAUAACAUUCCUACUGCCAUUUAUCAAUACAACUCCAUUCUAAAUGUUGUGAAAUUCUGUUUUGUCAUUCAAAAGUAGAAUAAAGUUUAUUUGUGAAAUUUCAGCUUUAUUGCUUUGAUUAAAUAGCUUACAUUGUAUAUCGAUUUUUGAUUUGCAUAGCAUCCAUGGUAAAUA